rnacentral:rRNA from 1 species
GACGAACGCUGGCGGCAUGCCUAACACAUGCAAGUCGAACGAGACCUUCGGGUCUAGUGGCGCACGGGUGCGUAACGCGUGGGAAUCUGCCCUUGGGUUCGGAAUAACAGUUAGAAAUGACUGCUAAUACCGGAUGAUGACGUAAGUCCAAAGAUUUAUCGCCCAAGGAUGAGCCCGCGUAGGAUUAGCUAGUUGGUAGGGUAAAGGCUUACCAAGGCGACGAUCCUUAGCUGGUCUGAGAGGAUGAUCAGCCACACUGGGACUGAGACACGGCCCAGACUCCUACGGGAGGCAGCAGUGGGGAAUAUUGGACAAUGGGCGAAAGCCUGAUCCAGCAAUGCCGCGUGAGUGAUGAAGGCCUUAGGGUUGUAAAGCUCUUUUACCAGGGAUGAUAAUGACAGUACCUGGAGAAUAAGCUCCGGCUAACUCCGUGCCAGCAGCCGCGGUAA